CAGUAGCCGCGGUAAUACGUAGGGUGCGAGCGUUAAUCGGAAUUACUGGGCGUAAAGCGGGCGCAGACGGUUACUUAAGCAGGAUGUGAAAUCCCCGGGCUCAACCUGGGAAUUGCGUUCUGAACUGGGUGGCUAGAGUGUGUCAGAGGGGGGUAGAAUUCCACGUGUAGCAGUGAAAUGCGUAGAGAUGUGGAGGAAUACCGAUGGCGAAGGCAGCCCCCUGGGAUAGCACUGACGUUCAUGCCCGAAAGCGUGGGUAGCAAACAGGAUUAGAUACCCCUGUAGUCCCUGUCUCUUAUAC
rnacentral:rRNA from 1 species